rnacentral:rRNA from 1 species
GAUGAACGCUGGCGGCGUGCCUAAUACAUGCCAGUCGAGCGAACAGACGAGGAGCUUGCUCCUCUGACGUUAGCGGCGGACGGGUGAGUAACACGUGGAUAACCUACCUAUAAGACUGGGAUAAAUUCGGGAAACCGGAGCUAAUACCGGAUAAUAUAUUGAACCGCAUGGUUCAAUAGUGAAAGACGGUUUUGCUGUCACUUAUAGAUGGAUCCGCGCCGCAUUAGCUAGUGGGUAAGGUAACGGCUUACCAAGGCAACGAUGCGUAGCCGACCUGAGAGGGUGAUCGGCCACACUGGAACUGAGACACGGUCCAGACUCCUACGGGAGGCAGCAGUAGGGAAUCUUCCGCAAUGGGCGAAAGCCUGACGGAGCAACGCCGCGUGAGUGAAGAAGGUCUUCGGAUCGUAAAACUCUGUUAUUAGGGAAGAACAAAUGUGUAAGUAACUAUGCACGUCUUGACGGUACCUAAUCAGAAAGCCACGGCUAACUACGUG